CAGUCGAACGGACUCAUAUUGAAACCUAGUGAUUUAUGAGUUAGUGGCGGACCGGUGAGUAACGCGUGGAUAACCUGCCGUAUACCGGGGGAUAACACUUGGAAAUAGGUGCUAAUACCGCAUAAGCGCACGGCUCCGCAUGGGGCAGUGUGAAAAACUCCGGUGGUAUACGAUGGAUCCGCGUCUGAUUAGCUAGUUGGCGGGGUAACGGCCCACCAAGGCAGCGAUCAGUAGCCGGCCUGAGAGGGUGGACGGCCACAUUGGGACUGAGACACGGCCCAAACUCCUACGGGAGGCAGCAGUGGGGAAUAUUGCACAAUGGGGGGAACCCUGAUGCAGCGACGCCGCGUGAGUGAAGAAGUAUCUCGGUACGUAAAGCUCUAUCAGCAGGGAAGAAAAUGACGGUACCUGACUAAGAAGCCCCGGCUAACUACGUGCCAGCAGCCGCGGUAAUACGUAGGGGGCAAGCGUUAUCCGGAUUUACUGGGUGUAAAGGGAGCGUAGACGGCAGCACAAGUCUGGAGUGAAAUCCCGGGGCUUAACCCCGGAACUGCUUUGGAAACUGUGCGGCUGGAGUGCAGGAGGGGUAAGCGGAAUUCCUAGUGUAGCGGUGAAAUGCGUAGAUAUUAGGAGGAACACCGGUGGCGAAGGCGGCUUACUGGACUGUAACUGACGUUGAGGCUCGAAAGCGUGGGGAGCAAACAGGAUUAGAUACCCUGGUAGUCCACGCCGUAAACGAUGAUUACUAGGUGUCGGGGGAUCAAGGUCCUCCGGUGCCGGCGCAAACGCAUUAAGUAAUCCACCUGGGGAG
rnacentral:rRNA from 1 species